CCAAUUUCCCUCGCCUCAACCAGAGCUUCUAAAGCCAACUUUAAGCUAGCUAGCAUGUAGCCUAGCCAAGUUGACUUUAGAGACAGCUUUUCUGCACAAAUGUAGGAGUAGAUUUUUACUCUCAGAGAUCCAGCUGAUGCAUUUUACAGAAUCACAAUGGUGAAUCAAGUUAAUGGCCAAGCUGCUACACCAAAGCUUCUGAAUCUCUUCCAAGCCAAGGGUGGAACCAUAGGGUUGAGGUUGCAGGCCAUCCUACUCAAGGCUCCAACCAAUCCUAACGCUAAUUUGACCAGAGAUGUUGUCAUCGGUGUUUGGGGGAUCUUUAGAUCAUCUUCUAAAAAAGUAUGAUGAGGCUGAUGAAGAUAGUGUGCCACAGGACCUUGCUGUAUAAAAAAUGGAAAUCAACAGCAUCGAGACCAAUACAUCAGAGGGUCCCGAUGACGUUGGUAUCGUGGUAGAGGGAAUGAAAGUUCUGACUGCUCUGGAUAACUUUCCAAGGGCUUGCUCCAUGCUCCUUGGGUGGACAUAUUCAGUGAAUCUGGCCUAUACCAAGGAGCCCAGAUAUACGUUUGAAAUCCUCCAGAAACUCCUCUUUGAGCUGGACUGUUCAAAGCCAAAAGGUGAACAUUCUCAAUAACAAACUGCUAGCUUAGGAAAAUGGACCCUUGCAAAAUGAAAAGGAAUUGUUAAGUCUCUGUCAAAUGUCACAUGGUUACCUUCAAAUGCUUGAGUUGCUCAAUCAUACUCAUUUUAAGAGAAGUGACUUUUUUACUUAUUAUUGGAAAAAUUAUCUUGUGCUUCUACUGUGUACAACAAGGAUGCAAAUUGGACAUGAUUUAGUCAAAGAAUUUCAGUUACACAAAUGAGUAAUGUGACCGUUCCAGUAGAAAUUAAUCCAAUUCUAUCUGCUCUGUCUCUUACAAGUCCAAAUGCAUUUUGCAUUUAAAAAAUGUUGGGUAAACCUGGGAGGUAAAGUUGCACAAAUAAAUGAAAUGAUACAUGU